UACGUAGGGGGCUAGCGUUGUCCGGAUUUAUUGGGCGUAAAGAGCGUGUAGGCGGCCAGGUAGGUCUGCUGUGAAAACUCGAGGCUCAACCUCGAGACGUCGGCGGAAACCAUCUGGCUAGAGUCCGGAAGAGGAGAGUGGAAUUCCUGGUGUAGCGGUGAAAUGCGCAGAUAUCAGGAGGAACACCUAUUGCGAAGGCAGCUCGCUGGGACGUAACUGACGCUGAGACGCGAAAGCGUGGGGAGCAAACAGG
rnacentral:rRNA from 1 species